rnacentral:rRNA from 1 species
UUCCAGACUCCUACGGGAGGCAGCAGUGGGGGAUAUUGCACAAUGGGGGGAACCCUGAUGCAGCGACGCCGCGUGGGUGAAGGAGCGUUUCGGCGCGUAAAGCCCUAUCGGCAGGGAAGAAGGAGGACGGUACCUGACUAAGAAGCCCCGACUAACUACGUGCCAGCAGCCGCGGUAAUACGUAGGGGGCAAGCGUUAUCCGGAUUUACUGGGUGUAAAGGGAGCGUAGACGGCGCGGCAAGUCUGAAGUGAAAGGCAGGGGCUUAACCCCUGAACUGCUUUGGAAACUGCCAUGCUAGAGUGCUGGAGAGGUAAGUGGAAUUCCUAGUGUAGCGGUGAAAUGCGUAGAUAUUAGGAGGAACACCAGUGGCGAAGGCGGCUUACUGGACAGUAACUGACGUUGAGGCUCGAAAGCGUGGGGAGCAAACAGGAUUAGAUACCCCCGUA